UCCGUUAGGCGAUCGCUUUGAUUUAUCAGAGAGGAAAGUCCGGGCAGCAUAGGACAUGACAGUUGCUAACGGCAACCGGGGGUAACCCUAGGGAAAGUGCCACAGAAACGAAACUACCUCGCAAGAGGAAAAGGUGAAACGAGUGGGGUAAGAGCCCACAGCGGCGCCUGGUGACAGGCGAAGAAGGUAAACCCUGUCUGCUGCAAGGAGAUCUACAUAAGGGCUGUCCGCCCGUAGGUCGAUAACCGCUUGAUCUCGAGAGCAAUUUCGAGACUAGAUAGAUGGUCGCUCACGACAGAACCCGGCUUAUCGAUGGUCU
rnacentral:RNase_P_RNA from 1 species